rnacentral:rRNA from 1 species
CCUACGGGAGGCAGCAGUGGGGAAUUUUACGCAAUGGGCGAAAGCCUGACGUAGCGACACCGCGUGAGCGAAGAAGCCCUUUGGGGUGUAAAGCUCUGUCAGCUGGAACGAAAAAAAUGAUGGUACCAGCAGAGGAAGCAUCGGCUAACUACGUGCCAGCAGCCGCGGUAAGACGUAGGAUGCAAGCGUUGUCCGGAUUUAUUGGGCGUAAAGAGUUCGUAGGUGGUUUGUUAAGUUUGGUGUUAAAGAUUGGGGCUCAACCCUGAAACUGCACUGAAUACUGGCAGACUCGAGUGUGGUAGAGGCUAGUGGAAUUCCCAGUGUAGCGGUGAAAUGCGUAGAUAUUCGGAAGAACACCAGUGGCGAAGGCGACUCACUGGCCCGAUACUGACGCUGAGGCGCGAAAGCGUGGGGAGCAAACAGGAUUAGAUACCCUGGUAGUCCACGCUGUAAACGAUGAGUGCUAGUUGUCGGCAUGCAUGCAUGUCGGUGACGCAGCUAACGCAUUAAGCACUCCGCCUGGGGAGUACGGUCGCAAGAUUAAAACUCAAAGGAAUUGACGG